GGAGCUUCAGCUUUAAGGAAACAGAGAAGUUCCUGUUUUAGCAGUAAAAGAAGAAAAGCUCCAUCAUUCUCCAUCAGGCAGCAUGAGAGUCUGUCAGAGUCUGAUCUGUUGUCUCUUCCUGACAGCUCUGCAGGACAGAGACUCUCUUGUUGAUGCAGAAACCAACAUCUACACAAAACGUGAAGAAGAAGACAUCACUGUUAGAUGUUAUCUUGGAUAUUUAGGGAGCAGAAAGCUGCUCUGUAAGGAAACAUGUGAAGAAGGAAACAUUCUCAUAAACACAACUAGUAAUGAAGAUCAGAGAGGAAGAUACAGCAUUAAAUAUAAAUCUCACCCUUUUACAUCAAGUAUUUUAGAUGUGACAAUCACUAAACUCACAAAGUCAGACUCAGGUUAGUACAGAUGUAAGUUAUAUGAAGGAUGGAGACUAUAUCCGUCAAAAGACAACUUUGAAAUAAUUGUUACAGAAGCUUCAGUAACUUCAGCUCCAACCAGGACUGUAGAACUUUCUCCUACAACACAGAUCACCAUUGAAAUGACAACAACAACAAAGACUUUAAACUCUACAACAUCUUCACAUCAAACCACAAAUCAAAACACAUCAGGUCUGCUGCUGUAUGUGGGUCUGACUCUGGUGGGCUUGAUCUCCAUGUUUUCUGUAGCUUUGCUGAUUUUCUGCAGGAGUCGGAGAUUCAAUCAGAAAAAGGGUGAGAUGAGAUUCCCAGACAUGACACUGGCUCAUUUACUGCAGAAUAAUUCUGAUUCUUUACGUCUUCAUAUUCCAUAACCAGAAGGUUCUCGCUGUGUUUUUAUCCAGAAUUCACAUAAGAUCUUUCACUGUGUUUGUGAUCACAUUUUUCAGUCACCUGUUCUCACUUUUGCUAAUUGUCUCUUUAACUUUCAGCUGAAAAUCAGAGUUCAGCCGUACCUUAAUACUGUAUAAUAAAUGAUUAGGAUUCUGCAAAUGUUGACGUGUCAAAAUCAUUUAGAGAAUCAAAGAAAACAGGUUCAUAGGUCUGGUGAUGUUAUAUUUUUGCUCCAAGUGUCUACUGCAGAGUCAGACAAAACAUACAUGAUAAGAACAUGACAAUAUUCCAUUGACUGCAAUUAUUUUAUAUUUUACAGACUUACAAGGACAGUGAUGUGAAAUAAGCUUCUAACACCCUAAACCUUAUUGUAUUUAUAGUAGUUGUUUGGUUAUUUGAUCUAAGUUUAGAUCAUAUCUUUGUGUUAAAAAAGUUGGAAU